rnacentral:rRNA from 1 species
GUGAGGAAUAUUGGUCAAUGGGCGAGAGCCUGAACCAGCCAAGUCGCGUGAAGGAAGAAGGUUCUAUGGAUUGUAAACUUCUUUUGUAAGGGAAUAAAAAGAGUUACGUGUAACUUAUUGUAUGUACUUUACGAAUAAGGAUCGGCUAACUCCGUGCCAGCAGCCGCGGUAAUACGGAGGAUCCAAGCGUUAUCCGGAUUUAUUGGGUUUAAAGGGUGCGUAGGCGGGCCCUUAAGUCAGUGGUGAAAGUUUGCAGCUUAACUGUAAAAUUGCCAUUGAAACUGAGGGUCUUGAGUGUAAAUAAGGUAGGCGGAAUGUGUUGUGUAGCGGUGAAAUGCUUAGAUAUAACACAGAACACCAAUUGCGAAGGCAGCUUACUGGGAUACAACUGACGCUGAGGCACGAAAGCGUGGGGAUCAAACAGG